GCUGUGUGGCCGGCAAGCAAUUCUUACUUCGUGCGAUAAGUAAUAAUACUCAUUAGAGUAUUCGCGUUUCUCGUUGGAAAUUCGGUAUAUCGGGUUAGAUUUGAUUGAAUUUAGUGUUAAUUGUCGUGUUUGGCCAUUUGCUAAAUAUUUAUCGCGUGUGUAUUCUUCGGAAUUCAGUAUUUCGUGUGUUCCAUUGCAUUUUCGCGUGGGUUCGUGAUCCGUUGCCGUCGGACGCCGGUCGGCCAUGUUGUGUGAUUGCAAAUAAUAUUUUGGACUUGUGCGAACCAUUUGUGUCUUCAGCGGAAUUCGAUGGGCGACUGUUCUACCUGUAUCUUCUCGCAUUUGAUUUACGGUGUUCGAUACACUGUGCUUGCCGUACCCGUACAAUCCGAUGAGCGCUGAAUUGAUUUCAAUUUUACAAGUCGAAACUUGCAAAAUAUCCAUGAAAAAUUCGUAAUUUUUCAUUCGGAUUUUGGCGUGUCGGUCUUGUAGUCGAACAGCCGCAGGCGCUCCGAACUUAUCGACGGACCACUUCGAGAUCGCGUUCAAUAAGACAGUUAACCACUUCGAUUGCGUUAACGUAAGAAAGAAUAAUUGCCGGCCCCAACCUACAGCUGCGAUGUCUCUGCGCUUCAUCCCCGGGUUUCUUAGCCACAUCAACAAUAUUCUUAGUGGGGACAGUCCUUGUGGUGGGGAAAUAAGGAUAAUAAAUAAAUAUUUUAAACAAUA